AAGGAUUUAAGUUAAAUAUUAAACUAUUAACCUUCAAAGUUAAAAAUAUGUUAUUGUUAUAAGCCUUA
rnacentral:tRNA from 1 species